AGAGUUUGAUCAUGGCUCAGGACGAACGCUGGCGGUAUGCUUAACACAUGCAAGUCGAACGAGACAAAAGAGAAGUGCUUGCACGGAUCUUUUAGAAAGUGGCGAACGGGUGAGUAACGCGUGGGUAACCUACCCUAUGGAAAGGAAUAGCCUCGGGAAACUGGGAGUAAUGCCUUAUAAGAUAUAUUUGUCGCAUGGCAGAUGUAUUAAACGCUCCGGUGCCAUAGGAUGGACCCGCGUCCCAUUAGCUAGUUGGUGAGAUAACAGCUCACCAAGGCGACGAUGGGUAACCGGUCUGAGAGGGCGAACGGUCACACUGGAACUGAGACACGGUCCAGACUCCUACGGGAGGCAGCAGUGGGGAAUAUUGCGCAAUGGGGGAAACCCUGACGCAGCAAUACCGCGUGAGUGAAGAAGGUUUUCGGAUCGUAAAGCUCUGUUAUUGGGGAAGAAAAAAAGACGGUACCCAAGAAGAAAGUCCCGGCUAACUACGUGCCAGCAGCCGCGGUAAUACGUAGGGGACAAGCGUUGUCCGGAUUUACUGGGCGUAAAGGGCACGCAGGCGGUUUUUUAAGUCAGAUGUGAAAGGUACCGGCUCAACCGGUGACAUGCAUUUGAAACUGAAAGACUUGAGUAUUGGAGAGGCAAGUGGAAUUCCUAGUGUAGCGGUGAAAUGCGUAGAUAUUAUGAGGAACACCGGUGGCGAAUGCGGCUUGCUGGACAAAUACUGACGCUGAGGUGCGAAAGCGUGGGGAGCAAACAGAUUAGAUACCCUGGUAGUCCACGCCGUAAACGAUGAGUGCUAGGUGUUGGGGAGACUCAGUGCCGCAGCUAACGC
rnacentral:rRNA from 1 species